UUCCUUCUUCCUCAUCCUCUGUUCUUCCUCUGUUACAAAACACAGACUUCACUUUCCUCUUUCUUUCUCGCAGAAUCCAACACUUGCGACAACCCUUUUCGCCAUUUUGCUCCUUGUCCACUCCUCACUCGCUCUCAAGGAAGGACAAACAUGCGUAGCAGACAGGAACUGCGACUCGGGUUUGCACUGCGAAACGUGCGUGGCCAAUGGGAACGUGCGACCAAGAUGCACUCGCAUUCAACCCAUCAACCCCACUUCAAAGUUUUUGAACAGGUAAAAGGGUUGCCGUUCAAUCGGUAUUCAUGGCUGACGACGCAUAAUUCAUUUGCGAUUUUGGGUCAGAAACCAAUGGCGGGUUCUGUUAUUCUUGCUCCCAC